rnacentral:lncRNA from 1 species
CGGGAACUAGAGAUGGAGGACUUUCCCGCGCAAGGGGGACAGGCUGGACUGAAAGAGGACACGGGAAGAACAAAGACUUAGACUCGAAGCCCUCGGAUGGUGGCCCUUGCAUGCUUCAGUUCAUGAUGUUGGAGACUAUUUCCCCACCCUUGCGGAAAAACCUUCUCUCUGUGCCAUGCAGCUACUGCCAGGGAUGGAGGAUGGCGGGAAUUGGCAACUAAAGACUGUCCUCCUACCCUCUUCAGUGUGUCCUUCAGCAAUAUGAAGUUAAAACCAGGUAUUGUAAAUGCUUACCUGAUUUUUAGUUCGUAUGAAGGUGCUUUUUUCCUGUAGAUUGUUGUUAAAUGCGGUAUUCCUGAAGAUGAAAUGAUUGGUGGAAACUUAUAUUUGGCCAUCUUGCUCCAGCCCCUCUCUAGACAUUCUCUUACUGUUUUAUUUGGAAAAUACUGAAACAGACAUACACACACACAAAUAAAAAUCACCCAUAGCCCCAUCAUCUCUAAAAUGUAUAAAAAUAAUUUGCACUGUCUCUCUGUUCGCCAGUCCCUCUUCUCCCAGAUUAAGCUUCUCAAUUUUUAACAAGCAUAAGAAAUCUAGUUAAAAUGCAGAUUCCUGGGCACCACCCUCAGCUAUUCUAGUUUGGGAGGCCUAGGAUGAGACCCAAGAAUCUGCAUUUUUAAACAAAUUCACUGAUCGGCU